CAUGAAUUCACACUCCAUUUGUAUGUAAAAGUAGGGAAUGGAAGCCAUUCCUGAUUCCUCUCCCUUCCAUAACAUGUUUAUUGGCUUUCAAAUUGGAAGAUUAAAGUGGAAGCAAAUUGGCUACGAGUCAUUAUUAUCUUCAAAUCUUUGAAGGACAAAGAUAUUGCCUUUGUCGUCCCUUCCUAUUCUCAUGGUGUCAUCAACAUAUCUAUGAAUUAGGAGAAUAAGAAACAACAAUUUUCAUCAAAGUUAAUAGCAUCAAAACAAAGACAGACAAUAUUUCUAACGGUGGUCUAAGAUAUGUGUUUUAGG